AGGACGAACGCUGGCGGCGUGCCUAAUACAUGCAAGUCGAGCGGACAGAUGGGAGCUUGCUCCCUGAUGUUAGCGGCGGACGGGUGAGUAACACGUGGGUAACCUGCCUGUAAGACUGGGAUAACUCCGGGAAACCGGGGCUAAUACCGGAUGCUUGUUUGAACCGCAUGGUUCAGACAUAAAAGGUGGCUUCGGCUACCACUUACAGAUGGACCCGCGGCGCAUUAGCUAGUUGGUGAGGUAACGGCUCACCAAGGCGACGAUGCGUAGCCGACCUGAGAGGGUGAUCGGCCACACUGGGACUGAGACACGGCCCAGACUCCUACGGGAGGCAGCAGUAGGGAAUCUUCCGCAAUGGACGAAAGUCUGACGGAGCAACGCCGCGUGAGUGAUGAAGGUUUUCGGAUCGUAAAGCUCUGUUGUUAGGGAAGAACAAGUGCCGUUCAAAUAGGGCGGCACCUUGACGGUACCUAACCAGAAAGCCACGGCUAACUACGUGCCAGCAGCCGCGGUAAUACGUAGGUGGCAAGCGUUGUCCGGAAUUAUUGGGCGUAAAGGGCUCGCAGGCGGUUUCUUAAGUCUGAUGUGAAAGCCCCCGGCUCAACCGGGGAGGGUCAUUGGAAACUGGGGAACUUGAGUGCAGAAGAGGAGAGUGGAAUUCCACGUGUAGCGGUGAAAUGCGUAGAGAUGUGGAGGAACACCAGUGGCGAAGGCGACUCUCUGGUCUGUAACUGACGCUGAGGAGCGAAAGCGUGGGGAGCGAACAGGAUUAGAUACCCUGGUAGUCCACGCCGUAAACGAUGAGUGCUAAGUGUUAGGGGGUUUCCGCCCCUUAGUGCUGCAGCUAACGCAUUAAGCACUCCGCCUGGGGAGUACGGUCGCAAGACUGAAACUCAAAGGAAUUGACGGG
rnacentral:rRNA from 1 species